AUAGGCUCCUCCUGUUAGCUCCUCUGUUUACAGGCUAAAGGCAGAAGCUACAGCGAACCAAACUGCUAAGGACUUCAGUAUAGGAGCACCAGGCUACUAUUACCUUCAGUCAAUAUUCUAGUGCCUUAAGUAAAAUAAACUUCUAGCGUCUGAGUACGCAGAGAGCUGGGUUUUCAGAGUGUCAAUAAGAAGGGGAAGAUAAAAAUUAGCCACAGGGAUAACUGGCCAUUGUGCUGACCCAGCCUGCUGGAGUGUCCUGGAGAGUGAGCGAGUGCCCGUGGCAGCUGUACAGUAAGCAGAACAAGAGAUGAGAGAACCAAAGAAAGGAGCUUGUGUAUGUGAGAACGUGUGAGCACACGUGGAUGCCCUUCUCUCUAGGUAUGGAUUUUUAUUUUUUAUGUGCAUUGGUGUUUUGCUUGCAUGUACGUCCAUGUGAGGGUGUCAGAUCCCCUGGAAUUGGAAUUACAGACAGUUACAAGGGCACAGACCCAGUGCCAUGUCUGGGCUGGGAAUUGAGCCCAGGUUCUCUGGAAGAGCUCUUCACCUCUGAGCCAUCUCCCCGACCCCACUUCUACUUUUUUGAGACAGGCUCUCCCAUUGAACCUGGAGCUCACAGAGUUGGCUACACUACUGGCCAGCGAGCUCAAAGGAUCCUCCUGUCUCCGCUUCCCAAUGGAUUAUAGGCAAACACCACUAUACACUAUUUUUUGCCUGGGUGUUGUGGAGCCAAACUCAGGCCCUCACACUUGUGAUCAUCUUCCUGGGGGCUUCUUUACACGUUAUAUUCCUGUCUCCGGUCAGACUAUUCCUUGUUCCUUCUGGAUUUCUUGUGGAGGGACUAGGCUGAUAGUGGUGGAGUGUUCUGGAAAGAUGUGUCUGUAUAAGUAUGAGGAAAAGAAUACAAUGGUGGGCUUCAGGAUGAACACACCAGCCAUUACUUAGAUUUGGCUGCCUCUGGGUUCCCAGAACACAAACCCUUUAGGUUACCAGUGAGGCCAGUGUACUCUCCAGAACAAAAUUCUUGCCUUUUGGGGCACUGAUUUCCACAUCUAUGAAGGUCACUGCACUGGACUUCCAGCAACAGGCUGAAGUAAUACUUUUAAGCCCAACGUUGGGCGCACUUUGAAUAAUGACGUCCUCAGUAACUCUUGGGGGAUUGUUUUGCUGUGAACUCUAGUUUUUAUAGGGGAAGUAAACGGGAUGGGGCUGGUGUAGGAUGUGGUCAGCCCAUCAAAGCGAGGCUCACCGGAAGGUGGAGGGGUGCUAUUUAUUAUUCUCUGUAGGCACCUGGGUCUUUAAUGCUUGACCUAAGACUAAACAUGAGUUCCUCUGGGAAGUUAGAAUUUCUAAUCACAACCGAGUUGAAAACAAAGUAGAAGCUAUCACUGUGGAAUGCCCCUCUGCCAAAAAAACAAAAAACCCAAAAAAGGUGGAGGGGCUUUACCUGUCGUCAUUUCCCUUCUGGAUUCAGUGUAUUCCACAAUUCCACAUCUGUCUUGCCUUACGGCUCCCGUUGAACAAAUGAAGGUUGAGCUGCUCCCAUGAAUACCCACGGCUGAGUCUAUGGAGUCCUAAUUUGGUUUUCUGCUGCUGUGAUAAGCACUAACCAAAAGCAGCCUAGGUCUUCUCUGGUUUACUUCGGCUUAUACUUUCCAGCCACUUUCCAUCACUGAGGGAAGCCAAGGCAGGACCUCGAGGCCCAAACCUGGAGGUGGAAAUGGAAGCAGAGUCCAAGGGCUGACCAUUCAAGCUACAUUUCUUAUACUGCUCACUCCCACCUGCUCAGGGGUGGCAACAUCCACAGUGGGCAGGGCCCUUCUACAACCAAGAAAAUGUCCCAUAGACACCCCCAUAGGCCAAUCUACCAGAGCCUCAGUUGAGGCUCCCAAUUUCCAUGUGUGCCACCUUGACAACCAAGCAGUGUUCAAAAUUCUGUUUCUUGCACUUAGUAGCUGGCCCAUGUGCAGAGGACCGAGACCCAGAAUCAUGUUUUCAAAGGCUGGUCCUCUGCUUAAAAAUAAAAUCUAAAUGUAUAUCAGAGAAUCAACCACCCCCUGUAUUCUUGUGCUGAGACAUUUGUCUCACCAAGAAAUGAGUUUUCUUUUAUGUGUGGUGGUAGCCAUGGUAGCAGCACUAGUGACUUUUAUUUCUUGUGUGUGUAUGUGUUUAUGUAGGCACAGGUGUGACAAGGAUAGGUAUGUGUGGAGGCCAGGAGCCAAUGUCAGCUGUCAUUCCAAAGACACUGUCCAAUUUGUUUUCUGAGACAGGAUUGUUUAUUGGCUGGUACUUGCCAAGGAGGCUAGGCUGGCUGAUUGGCCAGGGAUCUGCCAGUCUUCACCACUACACCCAGUUUUUUGUUUAUUUAUUUUUAUUAUGUAGGAGUGUUUUGUCUGCAUGUAUGUCUGUGCACCACUUGUAUGCCUGGUGCCCACAGAGGCCAAGAAGACGGCACUGGUUCUCAUAGAACUGGAGUUAUAGAUGGUGUGGAUGCUGAAAGUCAAGAGUCCUCUGGAAGAACAGAGAGGCAUCUUUCCAGCUACUCCUUCCCUCAUCUUUACUGUGGGUUCUGGGGACAGUCCUCGAGCACUGUCCUAUCUCCUGUAGCCCAGGAAUUCUAUUUAAGAAGAGUCACCUUGACAUUUCCAUAAGGGCUCAAUUCAGGCGCAAGGCUGGGAACAGACAAAGGACUGUCUGUUGGUGGCACUGACUCAUUAUGUCACAUUGCUCACUUAGUCCUGAGGAAAUUCAGAACAUAGGAAGAGGUGAAACCACUUCCUUAAAGGAUGAAGCCAUGUAAUGGUCACAAUAACCAGGCCUCACUGUGAGCUGAGGGGCAGGAGGAGCCAGCCCAUCUGCAGAGCAGAAGUCAGCCGCCCAAGUGGCCUUGAAUGAGUACCAAGCCAAAGGGGAGGCAGUCAGAUCCCUGUCUCAGCACCCGUGUACAGAGAUCAGCCUUGGCAGGCUCUGAUAAGGCCCUGACUUGACUUUGUUCUCCUAGGCUUGGCAGCAGACAGAAAGUGAACUCUCAGGCAGCAAGAACCAGCCUUAUCCUUUGGGUCAGUGCCCAUCUGUCAGACACUUGACAAAGUUGUGUUCAUACUGGGAAAUGCUCAAUAUAGCUCCACUCAUUUUGUGACACACAAACUUUAUGUCACCUGUUGGAGGACUGUAGCUCUGAAAACUCUCAAUGCCAGAUGUUAGCAGAAGGGGACACUUCUUAUGCUGCCUGGCAUCUCUUAUUUUUUUUCAAACUUGUCUAUAAUUCUGCAAGGGAUGGCUCCCCAUAUCUACCAGUGGUUUUUUUUUUUUUUUUUUUUUGGCUAGAGAAUUCACAUUUUUUCCUCUGUAGAUGUGACUGUAGAAAAGUGCAUAUAUAUAUACACAC